CUGAAGAUAAAGUCCAAUACAUAUAUAUAUUUAAGAAUGCCUGUUUGACUACAGUUGCUGGUGUUAAUUUCUUUUUCUAAAUGAUGUAAAAACCUUUGUGGAGUCGAUGCAGUUCAUGGAGUCUUUACAUGUAAGAAACCUUUGUGGAGUCACUGGAGUUCAUCGUGUAAUAGCACCUGUAACAGGGACAGUCCCUCAAAAGGGUUGCAAUUUACAGUACUCCGGUAGUGCUCAAGAUGCUAUUGCUGAAAUUCAAAAUUGAGCAUCAUAUCACCAAAUAAAUAUUCUUUCUUUCAAUAAAUAUAACCAAAUAAAUAUUGCUAUCAGCAAGAAUCCCAAGAGUAUAUCUGAGACCUUAAGUCUUUAUAGUACAAACGCCCCGUGCAGAUGGGACCAAAAGCAAUGAGCCGAGGACACCAGCUCCUCAUCCCCCCAAAAAAAGCAGAAUUAAGAGAAAAAUAAGAGAAACUUGGUAUCCACAAACCCCAUUUUCACCUUCAUUGUCUGGCGGCUAGGAUCAUUACCAUGGAUGUAGCACCAAGUAACAAAAUACAAUUCUUGGGCCCACAUCUACGGUUCAUCAACUAAUUGAAAAUAGUAAAUUCUAGAUUAGCAAGCAAGCU
rnacentral:lncRNA from 1 species